AUCGCUCAUCUUCUCCGCGUGACUCUAAUCGCCGCCGCUAUCUCUUCCGCUGCAGCGACCGAAUCUCUACCGACGCAUUCAUCACCCCUCAUUAUAUUGCCCUCCGUUACAGGAAGAAAAGCGAGAUUAAACUGCGCGGCCACCGCCUUCACGUCUACUACUAACCUGUCUAUGCUACCAUCCUCCCCACCAUCGCCGGUCUGCCUCUGUUCGGAUGCAAUUCUAGGUGCUGGUAGGACGCGGUUCCGUUGUCGACCACCCACAUCGUCGAGGAAGACACGCCGUUGCUCUGCUCUGGACCACCUCCCGCACGCCCGCCUGUCUGCCUCGCCUCGCCUCGCUUCAAUGUGUCUCUGAUCGUGGGAACACAGAACGGGCCGGCGGCGGGGGGAGAGGGGGGGGAUCCAACUCAAUCGCCAAACAGGACUUCCAAAGGGACUCCACCUUUGGGGCUAACACACCAUCUUAUCAGUUUGCAACAUCUGUUCAUCCGCUCCACACGCGUCUGACACUCCCAAGGCCAGGCUAGCAGCUCGAUGUGCUUCCACAUGGACUUCAUGGAGAUUCUGUUUCACUUGGACAUAAGCAAUAUUAUUGAUGUGUAAUGGCAUCAUUCCGACCAAGGGGUUGGCAAAAUUGCAAGCAGGUUGUGUUAUAUAUGUAUCAGUAAUGCCUCUUUUAUAUAUUCCAGUUUCUCUUCCGUUCUUAUGUUCUAUUUAUUCAGCAUCUGGAUCCAUCCCAUUCAUUGGUUGUUGUUGUUUUGGAUAACCUGAUGCACCUGCAUCUCUUGAUUUAUCAGCAGGCCGCACGCCACCAGAAUUCCGACAAUUUUUACUUCAUCUACCAAGCGGAGGUAAGCACUCAUACAUCAAACUUACACGGUGGAUUCUAGGUACUCUUUUGUACUUACCGAGAUCAAUAUGACCACACACAACACUAACAACCGACAACUUUCUUUGCUCCUUCACGUUCGAAUGACUGACGAAGAUUUUCUCUAUUCUGGAACCUGACUAAUCUUUAUCAGUGCAAGCUUCAGCCACUUUCAGGUAUCAAUGUGUGUAGUCUAUGCAUUAUUUCUAUCAUCCCCAAAUCAAUAUGACCGCACACAACAAUGAUGACUGACAACCUUGGUUGACCUUUAAUCAGGAGCCCACCUAUUUACCAUUGCAACACUUGAACUAUUUUCGGGCAGACACUUUUACCACCAGAAUUAAUCAAACGUACCUGCGUCGUGACAUACUACAGACCAUUUCGUAUCAUUCCAAAAUAAAAUGUACACAUCACAUGCAUAUUUUACUCCCACCUCUUACAUCAAUGUAAUCCUACAUAUGUUUUGUAUCUCCAACACAUGGUAUGGAGGGAGUACUAACACCCCACUGCAGGCUGGGCUAUGUAUUUCUGAACUUA